rnacentral:rRNA from 1 species
UACGGAGGGGGCUAGCGUUGUUCGGAAUUACUGGGCGUAAAGCGUACGUAGGCGGCUUUGUAAGUUAGAGGUGAGAGCCCGGGGCUCAACCCCGGAAUUGCCUUUAAGACUGCAUCGCUUGAACGUCGGAGAGGUGAGUGGAAUUCCGAGUGUAGAGGUGAAAUUCGUAGAUAUUGGGAAGAACACCGGUGGCGAAGGCGGCUAUCUGGACCGUAACUGACGCUGAGGAGCGAAAGCGUGGGGAGCGAACAGG